rnacentral:ncRNA from 1 species
AACCAUUCUAAAGACACAAUGCGAUUUAUUCCCAUUGCUCUGCCUGUCAAAGUGAAGAAAUUCAACCAAGCGUGGGUAAACGGUGAGAGUAACUAUGACUAUAUUAAGGUAGCCAGAUGCCUAAUCAUAUAAUUAGUGAUGCACAUGAAUGGAUCAUUAAAAGGAUUCCCCAUUGUCCCUAGCUACUAUAUUCUAGAGAAACCAAAUCCAAUGGAAUGGGCUUGGUAGAAUUAGUGGGGAAAGAAGACCCUCAUGUUGAGCUUGACUCUAGUCCUAACCCAUUCAUAGUUUGGGA